rnacentral:rRNA from 1 species
CUUCUCAAGAUUAAGCCAUGGCAUGKUCUAAGUAUAAGCAUCUAUACUGUGAAACUGCGAAUGGCUCAUUAAAUCAGUUAUCGUUUAUUUGAUAGUACCUUACUACUUGGAUAACCGUGGUAAUUCUAGAGCUAAUACAUGCUAAAAACCCCGACUUCGGAAGGGGUGUAUUUAUUAGAUAAAAAACCAAUGCCCUUCGGGGCUCCUUGGUGAAUCAUGAUAACUUAACGAAUCGCAUGGCCUUGCGCCGGCGAUGGUUCAUUCAAAUUUCUGCCCUAUCAACUUUCGAUUGUAGGAUAGUGGCCUACAAUGGUUUCAACGGGUAACGGGGAAUUAGGGUUCUAUUCCGGAGAGGGAGCCUGAGAAACGGCUACCACAUCCAAGGAAGGCAGCAGGCGCGCAAAUUACCCAAUCCCGAUACGGGGAGGUAGUGACAAUAAAUACUGAUACAGGGCUCUUUUGGGUCUUGUAAUUGGAAUGAGUACAAUUUAAAUACCUUAACGAGGAACAAUUGGAGGGCAAGUCUGGUGCCAGCAGCCGCGGUAAUUCCAGCUCCAAUAGCGUAUAUUAAAGUUGUUGCAGUUAAAAAGCUCGUAGUUGAACCUUGGGCCUGGCUGGCCGGUCUGCCUCACCGCAUGUACUGGUUCGGCCGGGUCUUUCCUCCUGGGGAUCCGCAUGCCCUUCACUGGGUGUGUUGGGGAACCAGGACUUUUACUUUGAAAAAAUUAGAGUGUUCAAAGCAGGCCUUUGCUCGAAUACAUUAGCAUGGAAUAAUAGAAUAGGACGUGCGGUCCUAUUUUGUUGGUUUCUAGGACCGCCGUAAUGAUUAAUAGGGAUAGUCGGGGGCAUCAGUAUUCAGUUGUCAGAGGUGAAAUUCUUGGAUUUACUGAAGACUAACUACUGCGAAAGCAUUUGCCAAGGAUGUUUUCAUUAAUCAGUGAACGAAAGUUAGGGGAUCGAAGACGAUCAGAUACCGUCGUAGUCUUAACCGUAAACUAUGCCGACUAGGGAUCGGGCGAUGUUAUUCUUUUGACUCGCUCGGCACCUUACGAGAAAUCAAAGUCUUUGGKUCUGGGGGGGAGUAUGGUCSCCCCCAAGGCUGAACUAAGUGUGUGUCGGCGCGGGGG